AGCUCCAAUAGCGUAUAUUAAAGUUGUUGCAGUUAAAAAGCUCGUAGUUGGAUUUCGGGACAGAGUGCACGGUGGGCCGCAAGGUUUUACUGGACGUUCUGUUCUUCCUUCUGUAGACCUCCGUUGUUCUUAACUGAAUGGCGGGCCGGGAUGCAGAUCUUUUACUUUGAAUAAAUUAGAGUGUUCAAAGCAGGCAUUCGCUUGAAUACGUUAGCAUGGAAUAAUGGAAUAGGACUUUGGUUCUAUUUUGUUGGUUUCUAGAACCGAAGUAAUGAUUAAUAGGGAUAGUUGGGGGCAUUAAUAUUUAAUUGUCAGAGGUGAAAUUCUUGGAUUUAUGAAAGAUUAACUUCUGCGAAAGCAUUUGCCAAGGAUGUUUUCAUUAAUCAAGAACGAAAGUAGG
rnacentral:rRNA from 1 species